rnacentral:rRNA from 1 species
AUGAGACGCGCGACGGCGGCAAGAUCUGAGCACGACGAUACGCGACGCACCAUGAUGUCGGGCCACCGCAAAUUCCCAACACCUCGCUCGAUCGGGCCGGUGGAUCUGAGCGAACCCGGUCGACCUUUUACCCGUACAAACAAAUCGACGCGGACACAGAUGGAGAAGGAGCUAAAGCUACUCAGCAACCAGGCCAGGUUCAUCUCCGCCAUCAUCAGCGGCGAAAUCAAGUACAUCCGGAGGAAGAUGAAGGAGCUGCUGCAGGAUAUAAUCGACAAGGGGUUCGAUCCCAUCCUAAGAGAGGGGUCGCUGCCCGUGCCCGAUGACGAAGGUGAAGCUGCGGCAGCUGGAGAAAGCCGGGAUGAAGAAGACCCCAGCAGCUGCUACUAUGAGUACCUCACCUCUAUGCCAAUGCGUUUCUUCAAUGACGAGUACCUGCAGCAGCAUCUUCUCAAGAGGAUAUCCGAGAUCAAGGAGGCGAUGCGGUCGUCUCACACUAAACACAUGGAUGCUCAAUCGGAUCGAGAGGCUACCGGAAACGAUUGUGUGCCUGAAGCAGCAGCAACAACGCCCAGGAGACGGUGUAAGAGGAGUGCAGCAGAAUCGGUGCCCAUAGAUGACGAUGACAACGAGGAGGAAGCCGCCGCCCAACUGUACGACUAUCUGGCCGCAAUUGUUGGGCUUGGCCCCCAACAACAUGCUGAACCUGUGACCGUGAGCACGCAGAGGCGACCAACGAAGAAGCAGCGGAGGAAGAAAUCAAGUAUAGUUGGCGCGCUACUACCUCUCGAGGACAUCAACAUAGCCGCUUCGACUUCGACCGGCACCAAUGAUGCUUGGACGAGCCGACCUGCAGUGCCUUAUUCGCUGUCAACGCUCGGCUUCGCAAGGAGUAUUUGA